rnacentral:ncRNA from 1 species
GAAAAACCGUUGAGAAAGAGGAGUACAUUUUCGAUCGUGUUUUCACAGAGAGCUGCAGGCGGUGGGAUUGCAGUAUUGCACUGGAAAUGGAAUGGACUUUCGAGGGCAGUCCUGAAUUUUAGUAUGGACUGACGGCUACCGCAGUCGUUAAGAGAGCGGCGUAUAUGUUGGUAUACGAAAAAAGCGGACCGAAAGGUCAAAUUGAGUGGCACCGCGGAUAUGAAAUUCGUCUCAAGC